CAUCUCGCUCCCAGUGUCGGGCCCCAGCGUUCAGCAGUGUGGAGCGGAGGGUCGGCUCCAUCUCUGAGCACGCACUGACCCUCACUGGCUGCAGAAGCAAGAUUUAAGCAGAGCUCUGGGGGAUGGGUGGCGGAGAGGCCGCUGGGACCUGGGCAUUGGCGCUCGGAGGAGGCGUGUGCGGGAAACCAGACCCCCGAGGACUGCAAUAAAUCUGCGUGGGGGCGCCGAGGGACACAGGGGGGACGGUGCAACCCCGGGGAGGAAUAAGGCCGCCGAGAAGCGGGGGAGCCCGACUCUGAAGUGAGAUAACCGUGGGCAAGUCCUUCAGGCCUCCAAGACUCUUCUUCAUCACUGAAACAGGGAGUCUCACAGCAAAUGACGGCAGAGGCUCUGGGCGGGACUUUAGGGGUCCCCUGUGUGGUCUGUUCAGGCUGAAGUAAACACCUCAGACUGGGCUGCUCUCGGCACUGAGAAGUACUUCCGGUUCUCCAGUACUGCUCUCCAGAACUCCAGCGUUGGCCGAGAAGUCCAAGGUCCAGGUACCAGGUUCAGUGUCUGUGCCUCACAGACGGCACCCUUUCACCGAGUCCCCACUUGGCAGGGGACAGGGGACAGGCAGGCUCCCUCAAGCCCUUCCACAGAUUCUGAUCCCACGCCUGAGGGCUCUGCCUUAUGGAGGUGACCUAAACCCCCUUGGAGGUCCCACCUAUUAAUACCGUCUCACAGGGACUGAAUUUCAGCAUGUGAAUUUUGUUGGCACACAUCCAUUUCAGUGGUGGCCUUCACACCGUAAAAGAAGGAGGCACACAGCAAUAGCUCCUAAGUUCCUGUUAUUAUCAUCACACUGAGGAGUUUAAGCAGUAGAGUAACCGGGUCACCUUUGCCCUGAGCCACAGCCGAAGGUCGAUCUCCAUCGCAAGACCAGCACCAGAACUGCUAAGGUCUCUCCCACAUCCCCUCUUCCUUGAUUCCCACGGUGGCCUCUCAGCCCUGAAGGACACCAACCUGCCCUGGCGGACUUCGGUUUCCCUCUCUGCUUCCAGAGACCAGAAGCAAAGCACAGCCAGGGGCAGGUGUUGAAGACACAGCCUGCAUCACAGAGGUCUGAGUUCCUUCCCUGGAAAACCUGUAAGAGGUUGCUGCUGCACACCUGUAAUCCCAAUACUCUGGAAGCUGAAGCAAGAGGAUUACAAAUUCCAGCCCAUCCUGGGCAACUUAGUGACUUAGCAAGGUCCGGUCUCAAAAUGAAAACUUAAUAAGGCUGAGGAUGUAGUAGAGUGAAGGCUCUGGAUUUGAUUCCCAGCCCUGGAAAGAAAAAAACUUCCUGUUCAUUUGUCUUCCCG
ensembl:lncRNA